ACCUACCCAUCACAUUCUACGCCGCCGGCGCCACUCACCCGAGCCCCGGCCCCUCCCUCCCCACCAUCUCCAGUGUGUUGCGGUCCACCCGAGCCCCCCACCCCCACCUUCUCCGGUGCAGCGCACCCACCUGAGCUAUCACCCCACCCAAUCCCGGCGACCUCCUACUCCGGCCCCGGCUGCCGCCCAGAGCACCGCCGCUUCGGCAGCCAUGACAGCCUCCGAUGCGCCGCCGACCUUCCAUGACCACCGGAUCUGGCCCCCAAACAACAUGUUCAUCCACCGCGUGCCUACUGCCUCGAUAUGGACCUGACGAUGGGCUCCUCCCUCCCGCUCCUCUCCGACAGAGCGUUAGGCUGGGUCCCCGUCAUGGCCCCGCCCAGAUCCGGGGAUGGCCGGCGGCCUCCCAUGGGCUUCCCCCGUCUUAGUCUCCUCUCUGUCGUCGUCUGUCAGGUGAGCAACAACUCCACCGUGACCCCUUUCCACCUGCUAUUCUCUUCUCUCUAUUCCCGUCGUCCUCUCUCAUCUCUCUGUCCUCCGAGUAGCAACGGGACUCCAUGCCUGAUCUGGGACUCGUCUGCGCGUCACCGCUGUCAGGGUACCCGAGUUCAACGCCAUCCCGCUCUUCUCUGCCAUGUGCAGUGCACACCUGGCCGCGCUGCAAGUCCUCCACCCAUUUGUGCCAUCAUCCACGGUGUAGUCCACACGGCCGGAGUAUGUUGCAGCCCACAUCUACAGCAGGGGUAGCUCGCAGCCUGCCGACGUGCAGUUUCGGCAGCAGUUGUUUGCAGGACUAUUUUUGUUGUUUUCCAGAGCUUGGAUUUUUGCCGGACCCCUUUCAUUUGAUUGUAGUUCGCUUCGUCGGCGUCCGCGGUGAACCUCAUUUUAGAAAAAGAAAAAAAGUGGCAACUUGGUGAAAAUCGCUGCAGUUCAUUGUGGGGCCCGUGGUUAUUCUGUUUGUAUAAAAACAACUAUGGACGCGAUUCACUUUUUAUUCUUUGUAGGUCGCAGUUAUCCAAUGGGAGGAAGAUCCUGAGGGUGUUAGUACAAAAGGAAGUGCACUCAAUGAACACUAGCGGUGCAGUUGUUUUGUAGUUCGCUUGCUAUGUACAAAAGUGCAGUUUAUUUGUAAUGAUCCUUGUGAUCUGUUCGAUAUGUAAUAGAAAUUUUAGGCACAUGCAGUACACUACUUUCAUCCACGCAGCUCAGAACGAACACACACAAAAAACAGUGCGAAAAAGUGCAGCCCCUUGGUGGCUCACUUUGUAAAUGAAAGAGAAAGAAAUCUCCACGGGAGGUUCACUUCUUUCUCUGAUGCAAUUAUUUUUGUUUGUGGGACUAAUGGAAAAAGUAAUUCAUUCCAA